GUAAAACCACAACGCAAAUAUCUGAACUGACCUUGGUUUAGAUAAUCGUAAAAAGCUCCUUAUCAGCUAUAUAUCCUACUGCCCUUCUCCUUAGCAGAGUUCUAAACAUUUAGGAAAAUAAUAGAAAGAAGGAGGGUCAGUGUCUUAUUCAGGAUCUAAUGAAUAGAAUUUCCUAACAAAACAUGAGUAAUCAAAUAGAAGGAAGAGGAUACUCUCUAGAAGAACCAGAUGCAAGCUCAGAAACCACAAAGAAGAAGAAGAAGCACACCACCAAUAACAAGAGAAGGUUUAGUGAUGAACAGAUCAGGUUACUGGAGUCAAUUUUUGAAUCAGAGACCAAGCUCGAGCCUAGGAAGAAGUUACAAUUGGCAGGAGAACUCGGACUUCAACCUCGCCAGGUUGCUAUAUGGUUCCAGAAUAGAAGAGCUAGGUGGAAGUCAAAGCAGAUUGAGCAAGAAUACAAAAACUUAAGAGCUAAUUAUGACAAAUUAGCAUCUUGUUUUGAGUCCUUGAAGAAUGAAAAACAGUCCUUGCUUAUUCAGGUACCUUUCUUAUUAGUUCAUAUUCAUAAUAUCCUCGAACAGGGGAAUCCUCUUUUCGACUCUGAUUCCCACUCCAGUCAUUGCUUUUCUUUCUGUUACUUCGAAAUUUUUUUUUUUCCUUUCUUCCAACAGUUGCAGAAGCUAAACCAACUAUUAGGUCAACCUUGUGAAGGAGAUAGGACUUGCAAGACUGCCAUUGAUUCAGACAAUGGGAACAUAAAUAGUGAUAAUGAAGCACAACAAGGACUAGACAAUAGAGUAUUCAUGUGUUCAGAAAUGAAUAACAGCAGAGAGGAAUACACAGAUGGCUCAUUAGCUUCACCUGAUCAAUGGUACAGUUUUCAUUCAGCUAGUCAGUUUGAUCUGUCAUCUAGCAGCUCACAGUGGUUCAAUUUCUGGGCUUGAAGAUUUGGUAUUUGCUCAGUUUCUACCUUCCUAUGUUGGAUUUAUAUACAUAGAAAAAAAAGUUGAGGUCAGAAUGAGAAGCCUGAGGAUGCCAAGUACAGGGUGGAUUACAAUCUUGCGUUGAUCUAACCAAAAAAAGUUGAUAGUCACUACAUAAUUCAUGCCAGAUGCUUACAGUGGAUUAUGCAUCCAUGCAUGAUAGAAAGCCAAGAAGUGAAACCUAGAAGAACAGAGCACAAGACUCAAUAAAGUUUUAUUGAUUUGAAAUGCUAUGAGCCCCGAUUUCCUGUCAAGUUUAAUUCCAUGUUUGAUAUAAAUGAAUUCUAUAAUUUUUUUUCUUUUA